rnacentral:rRNA from 1 species
AUACGGAGGGUGCGAGCGUUAAUCGGAAUCACUGGGCGUAAAGCGCACGUAGGCUGUCUGGCAAGUCAGGGGUGAAAUCCCGCGGCUCAACCGCGGAACUGCCUUUGAAACUGUCAGACUUGAGUAUCGGAGAGGGUGGCGGAAUUCCAGGGGUAGGAGUGAAAUCCGUAGAUAUCUGGAAGAACACCGGUGGCGAAGGCGGCCACCUGGACGAAAACUGACGCUGAGGUGCGAAAGCGUGGGUAGCAAACAGGAUUAGAUACCCUGGUAGUCCACGCUGUAAACGAUGGAUGCUGGGUGCUGGGAGCAUAGCUUUCGGCGCCGUAGUUAACGCGAUAAGCAUCCCGCCUGGGGAGUACGGUCGCAAGGCUGAAACUCAAAUGAAUUGACGGGG